rnacentral:rRNA from 1 species
UGAGUGAUGACGGCCUUCGGGUUGUAAAGCUCUGUUAAUCGGGACGAAUGGCUACCAUGCGAAUAGUUUGGGAGUUUGACGGUACCGGAAUAGAAAGCCACGGCUAACUACGUGCCAGCAGCCGCGGUAAUACGUAGGUGGCAAGCGUUGUCCGGAAUUAUUGGGCGUAAAGCGCGCGCAGGCGGAUCUGCCAGUCUGUCUUAAAAGUUCGGGGCUCAACCCCGUGAUGGGAUGGAAACUACAGAUCUAGAGUAUCGGAGGGGAAAGUGGAAUUCCUAGU